GUCUGUCCGUAAUUGCUGGAAGGGUCUAGAGUCCCCUUACAGCACCAAAGACAGACAAACAGCAAAAGAGGUUUCACGUCGUGCCUGCUCCCAGGUGCUGGCAUGUUUUCCUGCCUCUUACAUUG